rnacentral:lncRNA from 1 species
AGGGAAUUGUCAACAAAGGGACGAGAGACGCGCAACUCCGCUCCGCACUGUGCGCCAGCAUCCCCGGGGCACGGAGGGCGCUGCGGCCCGCCCGGAGACCCCCCCACCCAGGCUGGAUCCGGGCCCUGGGGCCCAGGGAGCGGGCUUUAAAGAGUAAGAGCAGCGCACCCGGCUCCCUCCUGCUAAUUAGAUUUCAGAUUCCCCUCUGGCCUCAGUGCUCAUUCCGGGGAAGACACCUGCUGAGAUGUCUUUUUCCCCCUCCCCCAACCAAACCACUCAGGUCCUACCUGCUCUUUCCCGGCUUGAUGCGGGCGUGUUUUCCUGUAUGUAUUUUUUCGUGCGGCCACAAAAAGCAUCAGCUGGGGUUCCCGAAGGUCAGAAAAUGGCUAUUGAUUAAUCUACUAGAAUAGUUGCCGAGAGAAAUAAAAACGACGUAAAAUAGCAGGGAACCUAUAAAUAAAGAAGCCAUAACUGGCUACUUGGAGUUGUUAAACGACUUAGCAUAUGAAAAAAUCGGAAAUGAGGCGCUGGGGAAGGAGCUGGGAUUGGCAGCGGCCUGGGGUGUGGACAAAUCCUCCAAGAUUUAACUUCCAAGAAAACCGGCGGCGGAGCGGGUGGAGGAGGCGAGGAUGUGUGGCCAAUGCACGCGGAGUGCAAGGGCCGCCUAGUUGGGAGCCGCAAGAGCCUGCCUGGUGUGGCAGGCACACGGAACCCAAUCCCUGUCUGUCCGCUGCGGCCUGGGAGGGGAGCGCCGGCCUCACCAGAGGAAGGAGCACGAGGGGAGGAGUUCCGAGAGGAAAUAAUUAGUGAAAUAUUUGCAGAAGAUGCUGGGAUGUGGAUUUAAUUCCGGAUGGACAGUGGUGCUUCUGAUUCCCUCAGUCUGUUUCCCCACCCACGAUCUCCUCUUUCCUUGGCCUAGACACACCAAAAAUAAUUCAAUAAAAUAAAAAUAAAAAUUUAAAAAUCU